GGGCCACCAGCACACUCAGCAGCUGGUCCUCCAGGCCCUUGAGUGUCACUGGGGCGGGGACACCGUGUCAUGUGGGCCUCACGCCGGCCGAGCCGCUUCCCACCGGCCCCUUGGCUGCACUCGGGGUGGGCCCAGCCCCUCACCCGUGUAGUUGAUGACCAUGGCCUUGCCAAACACAGCCGGAUGAUGAACUGCCGGCCCUGCGUGCACCGGAUGUUCUUCCCUAGCACGUUGUCGAUCACGGGGUCGAUGUACUCGUCCACAUCGUGGAACAGGAAUGGGGUCCCGUACUUGAUGGAGAUCUCCAGCUGCUUGAGGAAGUUGGGGUCGUUGAAGGACGCGGUCUGCAGAGGGAGCGGAGGUGGAAACCGGUAUGUUGAACAUGCCCGUGUUGGGGGGCGAGUGAGAACACUUGUUGGGGUCACGGAGGGGAGCAAGAGGUGACAAGAAUGGAGAGGGAAGCAAGGGCAGAACAUAGGCAGGAGAUGGGAAAGCUGAAAAUCGUGUUUGUUAAUGAGUUCAGCAAAAAGUGACUGAGCCGCAGGGCCCCCACUCCUGGAUAUGUACCCAAGAGGACUAAAGCAUGCAUCCAAAUAAAAACUGUGAACACGAAUGUUCACAGCAGCCAAAAAGUGGAAAGAACCCUGAUGUCCACCAACUGAUGCAGGGGUAAAGAAGCACAAGUCCUAUUCUGGACAGCAGAGUAUUACUCAGUCAUGAAAAAGGAACACAGCACAGACACAAGCUGCCACAGGGAUGACCCUUGCCAGAAACAGCCACAUUGUGUCUGAUCCCAUUCACAGGAAAUAUUCAGAACAGGCCAAUCGUCAAGAUGGAAAAUGUAUCAGUGCUUGCCAGGGGCCAGGGGAGGGGAGCAGGGAAGGGUUUGGUGGGUGACACUGAAGGAUGCAGCAUUUUCUUUUGGGGUGACUCUGGCAGCUGUUAUCAACUCUGUAAAUGGUCCAGACCCGCUGAACUGUGUGCGGGCGACUGAUAGAAGACAGUGAAUGACAUCAGUCCAGCCGUGACCCUGACCCAGGGCCCCACGCCCAGACCUGCAGAGGACGCAGGUGGCCCAGCCCUAGGCGUGGUGCCCAGGAGUGGAGGUGGCAGUGCCCGAGAGCAGCCUGGGGACCAGCACGGGGUAAGCCUGUCCUACCCGCAGGUUGUUCCUCUCCUCCUUCCUCUUGACCCAGUUGAGCGCCUGCUGCUGGGGGUCGAUGCAGAGCGGGAAGCGGCUGGCCCGCAUGGUGAGGAUGCCAUUCUGCACGGACAGCUCGGCCGGGCGGCAGCCCUGGGAGCCCCACCUGCAGGGCGGCAGCCACGGUGGGGUGGUCGUGGUCGUGGAGCAGUCUGCCACCCGCCCAGCUUCCCCGCCCGGCCACGCCCGCGCUGCCUGCUGGCUGCCACACCUGCUGACCUCCACGUCGUCUGUGAGCAGGCUCUCCAGGUGGAAGGGCUGGCUCAGGGGGAUGCCGCGCUCCAGCAUGUCGCUCUGCCACACCCGCCUCACCAUCUCCUCACGGAACUCCCAGGUGAAGGCGCCUGUGUAGCUCAGGAAGGCGGCGCACAGCAAGCAGUCGCCCAGCAGCUUCGCGCGCCGCACCAGCUCGUCCAGGUCCUUCAGCCACCUGGGGGGGGGCAGCUUGAGCUUCCAGCAGGGGGCCACU
rnacentral:lncRNA from 1 species